GAGGAUAGCCAUUGUAAACGAUGGCUAAUACCGCAUGAUGCCUACGGGCCAAAGAGGGGGACCUUCGGGCCUCUCGCGUCAGGAUAUGCCUAGGUGGGAUUAGCUAGUUGGUGAGGUAAGGGCUCACCAAGGCGACGAUCCCUAGCUGGUCUGAGAGGAUGAUCAGCCACACUGGAACUGAGACACGGUCCAGACUCCUACGGGAGGCAGCAGUGGGGAAUAUUGCACAAUGGGCGCAAGCCUGAUGCAGCCAUGCCGCGUGUGUGAAGAAGGCCUUCGGGUUGUAAAGCACUUUCAGUCGUGAGGAAGGUAGUGUAGUUAAUAGCUGCAUUAUUUGACGUUAGCGACAGAAGAAGCACCGGCUAACUCCGUGCCAGCAGCCGCGGUAAUACGGAGGGUGCGAGCGUUAAUCGGAAUUACU
rnacentral:rRNA from 1 species